ACAUUUGUGCGGUGGCAGUAUUGUAGCCAAUGAGGUUUAUCCAAGGUGCAAUUAUUGCUAAUGGAAAAGUCUGUGAUAAGCAAGGACUAUAUUGUGAUGAGUAUAUUUUUCUUGUACAGGAUAGCUCC
rnacentral:snRNA from 1 species